rnacentral:rRNA from 1 species
UACGUAGGGGGCAAGCGUUGUCCGGAAUCAUUGGGCGUAAAGAGCGUGUAGGCGGCCAGAAAAGUCCGCUGUGAAAACUCGAGGCUCAACUUCGAGCUGUCGGUGGAAACUUUCUGGCUAGAGUCCGGAAGAGGAGAAUGGAAUUCCUGGUGUAGCGGUGAAAUGCGCAGAUAUCAGGAGGAACACCGGUGGCGAAAGCGCUCAUCUGGCCCGAUACUGACGCUGAUGCGCGAAAGCUAGGGGAGCGAACGGG